CACAAACGUUGGGUAACAGAAGUUCUCAUUUUCAAGCUGAUGUUGUGUCAGGUGACAAGACGCCGAUGGCCGCUCUGGGACACAGAUGACAACAGUUUUGCUCCGGUAAUGGGUAGCCUAUCGAUGCAUGAUACUAAGCUAUUUUAAAAAUACACGAACAAUAUUUAGAACAUAGAAGUCUCACAGCUUUUACAAAAGUUUUCAAAUCGUUUUCAAAAAGUCUGAGCGUCAAUCUUGAAAAAUGUCCCUACACCUCUUAGCAAGUACACCAAGUUGGAAGUCAACAACCCCCAGGUUACAAUAUUUGGAACAUUUUGUUUAACACUGAAACCCUUUUUGGGGGGUUCUGUCUAAUACAGAAUAUUUUGAGGGUUUGCAAAAGUUUCCAACCCCACAAUACUUGGUACUAACCUUUCUAGUGUUUUUUUCUUCCAUGAAGCAGAUAACCUUUUUUGAAGAUGAUGAAGAAGUGAACUGAGCCAGCAGGGACUGGGGUCAUGCGAAGAUUUGGUAAUGUAUCGAGUUAUAAUUACAUUUUACCGUUUAAGAAACUACCUAUGGAAUGUGAAGACAACCCAAUCAAGAAAUGUGCAAAAUCUUUAACAAGUCUAAACAUUAGUUUAUUAACAACUUUGAAGACAAAGCGAUACAUGCAUUAAAAAUUUGCUUUUGAUAAAAACCAAUCUCUCACUAACCAGUAAAGACAGCUGUAUCUAGCAGUCAAAAUACUUUUUAAUAGAUGGAACAUUUGCAUUGAGGAUAAAGAAUAUUCCAUUUGGUUUUUAUCCAUAUACACUGAUGUAUGUUAGCACUGUUUACUCACAGUACACCCGAGCUGUGUGAAACAGAAAUCACAGGCAUACUUGGGUAUCUAUUUGAGAUUCCGCAAUAGAAAACAUGACCUUUAAAACUUCCUUUGAAACGUGUGAUUGUACAAUCCCCCAAAAAUUGCAACCCUCCCUGAAACAAUUGAAGUCAGCUGGUCUUGCAUUUUUUUGUUUCUAAAAUAAAUAAAUAUUGACAACUUUGUCUUGGCUUACUAUUCUAUUCCCUCAGUCUCUUGUUCCAUUGGGACUACAACCGGACAUGUUGGGAUGUGAAUUGGUGGAGGAUACAUCAUGCAGACAAACAACAACAGAGCUCGGUUGAGAUGAUGACUUUGGAGAAGACAUACCCAAACCUUGAGGCUAACCAUCGCUUGUUUGGCUGUGUGCCACCAGCUGAAGGACUGCAUCAAGUCUACCGAAUGACUCUCAGCUACAAGUUACCGAUGGAUGUUAGGGCGACAUUGUAACCAAGGGCCAUGUCACAUGAUGCAACUUCACAACAGGCAAUUUGGAGGCAACCGCAGGGUCCGGACCACUUUGGUAGCACAUGAGGAAUUUUUCGAAAAACGUAUUACGAUCAGCGAGAACAAUAGGUGAACAUUGAAAUGUGAAUGGAUUUCUUUCUUGUAGAUUGCCUGGAACUGGUUGCGUGUAAACUGCCUCGUCUGACUUGGUCCUCAAACAAGGCAAUUUACAGGCAACCAAUUCCAGACAAUCUCAAAACAGAGAAUCUAUUCACAUUUGAAUGUUCACAGUGUAGUCUUGUUGUAGCAAAGUGAUUGCCCCCAAAUUGCCUGUUGAAGUUACCUCAUGUGACAAGGCCCUACGUCACCAUGUAACAUCUAGCCAGAAGAUCUCCCUUGUGUUCAUACUGAAACACUCAAGCUGGACCCUCCAUGACUGGACCAAGACGGCGCCUUUAUGAAGACACUACAGAAGAAGAGCAGGGCCCAAUUUCAUAAAGCUGUUAAGCAGAAAACUGCUUGACAACUCUGUUUCUAAGCAAAACUUUGGGUGGUGCACCAGUCUCGGCAAUAUGUGAACUGUUAUAAAUUUGGCUGGUAACCUUUUUAUGUCAAUGGGGCAUUUAACAGGCAAUCUCACUUAAGAAAAUCUUUGCUAGAAGAUUGUCUCUCUCGUGUUUAUUUUCCAUACUGUCUUCAAAUUGCCUCUUUAAUUACCCCAUGUGAACAUAGGGCCGUGUCCAAAUUUGUGACCUCAGCUUUGGCUGUGGCCGUUGUCAAGGAUGUUGCUAUGGGCCUUGUAUUGAUUCUUUAAAUCGUGUUCUUGUGAGGAUCAGGUCACAUCCAAAGCCACAGCCACUCAAUAGGGACAUGUCCACAGCCACUCAAUAGGGACAUGUCCUUAGUAGAAUGAAUAGUCAAAUAGCUUUUCUUGGAUCCAUCAAAAUCCAAUACCACUAUAACAUUUGCUCGGUAGACACAUAAAUGGCAUGCAUUGUUGGUCUGUCACCUCUAGUCACACCAACAAAAACAUUCGUUAAAUUAAAAUGAAAUAAUCUUUUGAUUUUGAUGGAUUUGGAGUAGACCUAUUUUGUAUUAGUUUUUAUAGUGGUAUAAGUUAAUUUUAUAAGAUUAGCAUGGGUUAUUGGAAUUGUAAGGCCACAAUAUAGACUAAGAGGUGUCAUCACUGAAUGAGUAAAAUUCAAAGAUAUGUGACAUGUGGGAAACUCAAAGUGUACGAUUGAGCGCAAAUAGAGAGAAUUCAUGUUUAUAGAAAGAUUCGCAAAAAAAACCCACUAUGUUGUAAUGCAAACCACGGCCACA